rnacentral:rRNA from 1 species
UGUCAGGAAAGGAGCAAUUCGCUAUGAGAGGGGUCCGCGGCUGAUUAGCUAGUUGGUGAGGUAAUGGCUCACCAAGGCCACGAUCAGUAGCCGGUCUGAGAGGACGGUCGGCCACACUGGAACUGAGACACGGUCCAGACUCCUACGGGAGGCAGCAGUGGGGAAUUUUUCGCAAUGGGGGAAACCCUGACGAAGCAAUGCCGCGUGGAUGAUGAAGUAUCUCGGUACGUAAAAUCCUUUCGACGGGGACGAAACCGCAAGGUUGACGGUACCCGUAGAAGAAGCCCCGGCUAACUCCGUGCCAGCAGCCGCGGUAAUACGGGGGGGGCAAGCGUUGUUCGGAAUUACUGGGCGUAAAGGGUGCGUAGGCGGCUUUCUAAGUUGGAUGUGAAAACUCUGGGCUCAACCCAGAGACUGCAUCCAAAACUGGAGAGCUUGGGUUCUGGAGGGGAGAGCGGAAUUCCUGGUGUAGCGGUGAAAUGCGUAGAUAUCAGGAGGAACACCGGUGGCGAAGGCGGCUCUCUGGACAGACACCGACGCUGAGGCACGAAAGCUAGGGGAGCAAACAGGAUUAGAUACCCUGGUAGUCCUAGCCCUAAACGAUGGAUACUUGCUGUGAGGGGGAUUGAAACCCUUUGUGGCGAAGCUAACGCAUUAAGUAUCCCGCCUGGGGAGUACGGUCGCAAGGCUGAAACUCAA